GCCGGGCGCGGUGGCUCACGCCUGUAAUCCCAGCACUGUGGGAGGCCGAGGCGGGAGAAUCGCUUGAGCUCAGGAGUUUGAGACUAGCCUGGGCAACAUGGCGAAACCCCGUCUCUA
ensembl:misc_RNA Metazoa_SRP Metazoan signal recognition particle RNA